GUGAGGAAUAUUGGUCAAUGGACGGAAGUCUGAACCAGCCAUGCCGCGUGAAGGAUGAAGGCGUUCUGCGUUGUAAACUUCUUUUAUCAGAGAAGAAACCACUGAUUUCUAUUAGUGUUGACGGUAUCUGAUGAAUAAGCACCGGCUAACUCCGUGCCAGCAGCCGCGGUAAUACGGAGGGUGCAAGCGUUAUCCGGAUUUACUGGGUUUAAAGGGUGUGUAGGCGGGCUAUUAAGUCAGGGGUGAAAUCCCGGGGCUCAACCUCGGAACUGCCUUUGAUACUAUUAGUCUUGAAUUAUGUUGAGGUUGGCGGAAUAUAACAUGUAGCGGUGAAAUGCAUAGAUAUGUUAUAGAACACCGAUUGCGAAGGCAGCUGGCUAAACAUAUAUUGACGCUGAGGCACGAAAGCGUGGGUAGCGAACGGGAUUAGAAACCCUGGUAGUCC
rnacentral:rRNA from 1 species